ensembl:lncRNA
CUGAGCAGCGACAGAGGUGGCUGAGAGAGGGACGAGCCUCUGGUCCUGCCCGGUGGGCACCGCCCAUGGUGCCAACAGGUCUCUGUUCCCAGUUGUGACACUUACGACGAUGAUACGCAAAUAAAUGGGUGGGGCUGCCCCCCAAUACACACAGUUUCCAGACACUGAAAACUCAAAUCUCAAAAUUCUUCCUUUGAUUUUUUUUCAACCAGUUCGCACGGCAAGCUGCAUUCUGACCUCACCAGCAACACCGAAGCAGAAGCUGGCACCCUGUGUUUGGCCAACUCAGGCCAAAACAGAGGUUCAGAGGGUGGGGCAACACGGGGAGGGACAAGGCAAUCCACCCCAGGAGGGGCCCCUCCUGGUGCCCCCCCUCCUCCGGGCUCACGGGAAAUCGGAGAACAGACACCACCCAGCACCGGAAGGACGCGCCGCAGCCAGACGGCGCUCGCCGCAGGCUGCUUACCAAGCGGCCGCAGGCGAGCCGGCCGGGGGCUCUCGGGGGCGCGGAGCAGCCUGUACCCAGCUUGGGAGAGAGAGCCUGGUGUGGAAACUAUGCCUCAGCUGUCAGAGAAAACACUUGCAGAGAAAGAGCUCAGAGUGCAGACGUGGUACCAGGUCCGGCCAGUGGGGUCUCAGGACAGUGGGGUCUCAGGACAGUGGGGUCUCAGGACAGUGGGUCUCAGGACAGUGGGGUCUCAGGCCAGUGGGGUCUCAGGACAGUGGGUGAGGGCCUGGGAUCCCAUGUGGGAUGAGGACGCAUGCAGGCUGGGAGGGAGAGGUCCAGACUCAGCCGGAGCAGGUCAGAGCGGGCACUCCCGGAGCCAGGCUGAGGAGCCCGGCACCCACAUCUCCCUGCAGGUGCCAAGAAGCUGGGGUGGGGGUCCCUACCAGAGGCGGAUGUCCACUCUGGCCCCUGGCCCCUCCCCCUGCCCAGGGGCCAUCCAAGGAGGCCGGAGCCCCAGGGGCGCACCCUUGGUGGGCUGACCAUCACCCCGGGCCCUCCUGCCAGGGCCCAGACAAUGAUUGGUGCAGGCGGGCAGCCUGGGCUGCGGGCCCGGGCCCGGGGUGGGUGGUCCCAGCGUGCAGACCAAGCUGGGCUGGUUGCCCCAUUACUUGUCAUUCCACCGAUGCACGGCCUAGAUUCGAGGGCCCAGCUGCCCAUUCUGGCCACACCAGGCCCUCGGACAGAAGCGCUUCUGCCCGCCCACCUUGGAGGCCCACAAGCUUAGUGCACACCAGAACCACCCCGACGUGUCACGGAGUCUGGAUCCCCAGGAGCCCCAGUCAGGGGGCUGUGUUCUGUGGGGACCACCCAGUGCCAGCAGCCGGCUGGGGCCCCCCAGAAGGCGGAUAACAGACUGCCUAUGGCAGCCUCAGCCCCAGGCCCCAGCCCAAGGGCAACAGGGCUCGGUUCCGGUUUGGUCUGGGUGGUGGCGGCAGGUCAAGCUGUCCACACAAGUAUUCUCUUCAACCUGGUCCAGCGGGGGAACUGAAGGACCCAGAGCAGCCCCCCGGCCGGUCCUGCCCAGCAACCAUCCGCUGGUGCCGGUGGGGGGGAGGCAGGGCCCCAUCCUCUGCCGAGGGCGACCACCGACCUGCCCACCACCCCGAACCCUCACUUAGAGGCCGGGGCCCUCCAGACCAGGGCAGAGACGGGCGGUAGCAUCCCACUUCCUGCAGGUCCAGUCUGGCAGUGGCCAAGGGGAUGGUGUCGGCCAGGGGGACACGGGUGAGGGACAGAGCCCUAGACGAGCACAGGGGGGCGCCACCGAGGGAGCCAUAGGGGCACCUGCCUCGGCCCACUCGGCACCCUGGCAAUGGCCUUGGGAUGGAGGUUUUCUUCACCAGUCGGGGGGUCUGCCCACACCCACCGGCACUAGGGCCUGUGUGCCAUGGGGGCGCCCAUGUGCCAUGUGGGGUGGGCACCGGCAGGAUGUCAGUCCCUCCAGCGCCUCCCCAGGCCUGAGCUCGAUGGGGGGUGGCACCACGGGGUACUGUGUCCUGGAGGAGCCAGGCUGGGCCUUCAGGCACAGAAUCCUCCAGACUCUGCUACUCACUGGCUCCGUGACUGGGUUCCCUCCCUCUGGGGGUCAGGGAGGCCACCAGAAGCAGGUAGCGCCCAGGAGCAGAGGGAGUGGGAAGGAGACCCGCCCGCCCUGGGUCUGCGCCCAGCAUUGACGCCCACCAGGCCACCGGCACAGCCAGGCUGCUCUGGGGACCUGACCCCUGCUGGGGAAAUGUGCUCCCGCUUUGGGGUCACUACACUGAGGCCCCUCCACACACAGGGGGCCCAGAGGUCGGCAGCACUCCGCGUCAGAGGGGUCUUGGGGAGACCCCAGAAAAUAAGCACCCAAUUCAGACCCGAUUCAAAGGAGCCCACGGAGCUGGCGGAGGAGCAAAGCCUUCAGGUUCCGGUUGUGCAUCAAGCUCUCCGCUGCCAGGCACACACUUAAAAGCGCCUGAGAGGGGCCCCCAAAGGGACCCUGAGGUCAAGGCCUUCCUGCCACCCCACCCGGAAACCACCUGAGAAGUUUCAACAACCUAAAAAGUUUCGUAACAAAGUUAGAAAAAGAAAGGGCGGGCCCCGGAGGCCUGGCAGGCUGGUGCGGGCUCACGGGAUUACCCGGGCUAAUCCUCCAACAGCCUCCAUCGGGCCCCGGACAGGUGAGGAGACUGAGGCCACAGGAGAGAGCACCCGGAGCCAAGGCGGGCAGCUAGCGGCCCGGAGCCCCAGACGGCCUGGGUCUGAGCGCCCCCAGCCUCCAGAGGCUCCCCUCCCUGAUCAUUCAUUGUAAAAGGCCCAGGCCUGGCCGCCCCGCCCCUGAACCCGGUCUCCUCUGCAGGGAGACCGCCCCCCAGCUCUUCUUCAGGUUCAACUGUAAAAUGGGGCACGCCAGGCCCCAGUGAGGACCCCGAGUGGGAGACGAGGCCCUGGGGGGAGGGCAGGGAUGCUCCUCGGCUCCGUGCAGGGGCUCAGAAACCAAAAGUCCAGCCUCGGGCUCAACCCAGGUUAAUGAACCACCCGGAGGCCCAUGGGGCUCAAAGUCCAACCCCGACAAGGAGCCGGUGGGGGAGGCGGUAGCCAGUGGCUUCCAAGGGGAGGGCCCUACCCCGGGGAGAUGCCCCCAGGCUAGCUGGGUCCCCCACUAACCUGGCUGCGGGGUCGGGGCCCUGCCCAGACCCUCUCCCCCACGCGGAGACGGCGGCUGCGCUGUGCGAAUCUGGUCUGAGGUGGCCCAGGCACCCCAGCAGCAGACACCUUCCCCGCUGUCCUUGGCCUCUGCCAGCUCCAGCUCCAUAAUUUAUGUUUCCCGGGCAAGUGCCAGGCUGGGACCUUUGUAAAUUUCACGAGGCCUUUGUAUUUUUACUGCCAGGCCUGUGGCCCAGCUCCUUCAGGAACCGGAUUAAGUUUAUUGACCUAUCAACGCACUACCUGUUUCACCAGCUUUACUGCGGGGCGGGGGGACAAGGCCCGGCGCCCCUACCCCAGCCCCC